ACAAAAGUUUUAAAUUCUAAGUAGAGCGAAGAUUAUAUUGCACGUAAUAAUAUGUGUUGACAUUUUAAACUUUAUAAAUGAUCGCUUAAUUAACAUAAACAUGGUUAAAAUACAAGUAUACAUGAUAUCAAUAGUGGCUUAAAAGCGAGAAUGCAAGGAAUGCGCCUGCAUUAAGUCUAUAAUAAAAUAUAGACGACUUGUGGACAUUAUGCGAUUAUUGACAAUUUCGAAUUUAAAAGCUCAUCAAGUAAAAUUUAAGCUGUUAUAACUGACUUAACAUUAAAAAGUUAUACAAACUUACAUUUUUCUUUUACAUUUAUUUCGAUGAGAAGGAAGGCCCUUAUGACGUGAUAUCGUAUUGCUGAUAAUUUAAUACUUAAAGUUGUAACAAAUAAAGGGUCGAACAUUUCACGUACCUAAAGUUCCAAAAGUUAUCUCAACUAGACACGGCACAUUGACAUCUACAAUUAUUUAA